GGUUCGGGCUCUUCUUGCGCAGCUUAGGUGGAAGGCGUUGAAAGAGAGCUUCCGGGUUCUCUGGAGCCACCAGUGAGAUACCACUCUGGAAGAGCUAGAAUUCUAAUCUCGACCCCUUAGCGGGGCGUGUGACAGUUUCAGGUGGGCAGUUUGACUGGGGCGGUCGCCUCCUAAAAGGUAACGGAGGCGUGCAAAGGUUCCCUCCGGCUGGACGGAAAUCAGCUGUAGAGUGUAAAGGCAGAAGGGAGCUUGACUGCGAGACCUACAAGUCGAGCAGGGACGAAAGUCGGCCUUAGUGAUCCGACGGUGCCGUGUGGAAGGGCCGUCGCUCAACGGAUAAAAGUUACUCUAGGGAUAACA
rnacentral:rRNA from 1 species